CAGAGGUGGGGCCUAAGAAUUUGCAUGUUUUUAACUCUUUUUUUUUUUUUUUUUUUUUGAGAUGGAGUCUCGCUCUGUCACCCAGGCUGGAGUACAGUGGCAAGAUCUCGACUCACUGCAACCUCUGCCUGCCGGGUUCAAGCAAUUCUCCUGGCUCAGCCUCCCAAGUAGCUGGGAUUACAGUGUACCACACCAAGGAACUCCCACACUCUGAAUGAACAGCCCAGUGAUCAGGAGCUUUGAAUCAAUUCUUGGCACCUAACAGUUUGUGAAGAGUCUGCUAAACUCCCUCUAUCAGAAAUCCCAGAGGACUGAGAACAGGUCAUCCUUGGAGCUGUAUCUGAAUGGAGUCAGGAUCUGGAAGCCCAAGUCUCCUUGUCAAUGUCUGCUUGGUUCCCAAGGACACCUGUAAAUGGAAGAGGGGCAUAGUACACAGAAGACAUUGCUGGCAAGUGUGGUCUCUUUACGAUCAGGUGAGUCAUCUGCUGAAAUCUUUAUAAUAGACUUCUACCUUGAUGGAAUGGGUUGGACUAACGAGGAACCACCAUUACUCCAAGGCCCAGAGCAGAGCUGGGCCAUCAACUGUCUCCACACUUCCUGUCUUCUAGGUGCCACCCUGAUCCCUCAUUGCCUUUCAGCUGCAUGUCUAAAUCCCCACCCCACCCCUCAUCUAGUUGGCUUUGAUUCCAAGGACCUAGGACUGGAGUAGGGCUUUCACAAAUAAGACAGCAGGAAUGUAAUGCAACCUAAUGAGCAGACUAAGAAAGCAUCUAUACAGAAGAACAGACAUACAAAUACCAAGGCAGAUAAGAGUGACAAAAGACAAAAAAAAAAAAAAAAAAAAGAGAGAGAGAGAGAAAAAGCUGAAGCCGGUCAGAAUUCAUCAGGGGAUGGUGUAUGUCUACCACCUCAGUGGUCCUUUAAAGGUAAACGGGCUUAUUUUUCAUGCACCAGCCUAUGGUCCCUUCACUGGGACACUCUCAACAUCCCCGGCUUUUUAUAACUCUGGCUGGAAAG
rnacentral:lncRNA from 10 species